UGGGGUAUAGUUCAGUUGGUAGAAUGCUCGCCUCACAUGCACAAGGCCCUGGGUUCAAUCCCCAGCACCACAA
rnacentral:tRNA from 1 species